rnacentral:rRNA from 1 species
AGUCGAACGAUGAACCUCACUUGUGGGGGGAUUAGUGGCGAACGGGUGAGUAACACGUGAGUAACCUGCCCUUGACUCUGGGAUAAGCCUGGGAAACCGGGUCUAAUACUGGAUACGACCUUCUGGCGCAUGCCAUGUUGGUGGAAAGCUUUUGUGGUUUUGGAUGGACUCGCGGCCUAUCAGCUUGUUGGUGGGGUAAUGGCCUACCAAGGCGACGACGGGUAGCCGGCCUGAGAGGGUGACCGGCCACACUGGGACUGAGACACGGCCCAGACUCCUACGGGAGGCAGCAGUGGGGAAUAUUGCACAAUGGGCGCAAGCCUGAUGCAGCGACGCCGCGUGAGGGAUGAAGGCCUUCGGGUUGUAAACCUCUUUCAGUAGGGAAGAAGCCGGCUUUUUGGGUUGGUGACGGUACCUGCAGAAGAAGCGCCGGCUAACUACGUGCCAGCAGCCGCGGUAAUACGUAGGGCGCAAGCGUUAUCCGGAAUUAUUGGGCGUAAAGAGCUCGUAGGCGGUUUGUCGCGUCUGCCGUGAAAGUCCGGGGCUUAACUCCGGAUCUGCGGUGGGUACGGGCAGACUAGAGUGCAGUAGGGGAGACUGGAAUUCCUGGUGUAGCGGUGAAAUGCGCAGAUAUCAGGAGGAACACCGAUGGCGAAGGCAGGUCUCUGGGCUGUAACUGACGCUGAGGAGCGAAAGCAUGGGGAGCGAACAGGAUUAGAUACCCUGGUAGUCCAUGCCGUAAACGUUGGGCACUAGGUGUGGGGGACAUUCCACGUUUUCCGCGCCGUAGCUAACGCAUUAAGUGCCCCGCCUGGGGAGUACGGCCGCAAGGCUAAAACUCAAAGGAAUUGACGGGGGCCCGCACAAGCGGCGGAGCAUGCGGAUUAAUUCGAUGCAACGCGAAGAACCUUACCAAGGCUUGACAUGAACCGGAAUGAUGCAGAGAUGUGUCAGCCACUUGUGGCCGGUUUACAGGUGGUGCAUGGUUGUCGUCAGCUCGUGUCGUGAGAUGUUGGGUUAAGUCCCGCACGAGCGC